CUGACAGCGGUACGAGAUGCAGGACGGAUUCAUGGCUUAUUCGCAUGAGGAUUACUCAAAAUAGAAAUUAAGGAAAAGCGAGGAAAACACGCUGCCGGAGCGGCCUCCUUUCCCCCAUCCGGGGGCGGGAUUUGAACCCGUGUUCUAGUGCGCCUGCAGCCGCCGCCUGGAAGCUGGUCCAGAGGCGGGCCCGGUCUCGCCCCCGCCGUAGCCCCGCCCCCCGCAUGGCGUGCCCGUGGUUUCCAAGGAAACGGCGGCUGCGGCCGGGCCUCGGCGUGAGGGAGGCAGCCCGAGUGGAGUGCCUGCGGCCUGCCGGGCCGUCCGGUUGUACAGUGCGCCUCGAGGGGAAUGUUUCUAAAAUAGCGUUUGUGACUGCAGGAGCCACUUGGGCUCCAGACAUAAGAUGGAGACAUAACAGGUGCCGGAUGGCAACACUUCUGAGCAGCCCACUAUGGCUUCUGCCGUCUGCACUUAGCAAGGCUGUAAGCUGAGGAAGAAGAUGGUGACAUUAGGAAGAGUGGAAAGGCCCUUGUUUACCCAGUAGUUCAUCCCUACCUGGUAAAACAUGCUUUCCUCCUUCCUUUUGCAGACAACUAGCAGCAUUUCAACAGCUAGUUGUGGCAGUGCAGGAGUGUCUCAGAACAGCCAGGUGAUUCAGCAGAGAUGUACAUCACAUACUUGGAUUGUGUUGGAUUUGGAAACACACAUUUGUACCUUAAACCAGCUUCGGUUCUCCUGGUACAAAUGAAGUGCCUAGAUUUACUCUUGAGUGGAACAAAACUUACUUCUAGACUCACCUUUAAAUUGAAAAAGUCUGUCCAUUGUAAAGUCCUUGCCUUUAACAGCCUUGUUGAUUAAAUUAUGUUUGAUCUAUUUUUUGAUGCAUCUUUUAUCUAAAUUGUCUUUUGAUCUAUUAAAUGCUGGGCUUAGAGCAGCCUUUUCUUCUAACAAAUGGUUUAAAUAGUCUGCAGUACUUCGCAUAAACUCCACCAACCUGAGUAAAAAAAUUCUCUAUAGAGAUUGCAGGCGAAUGUGUAUGAUGCAGU